rnacentral:rRNA from 1 species
AUGAACGCUAGCUACAGGCUUAACACAUGCAAGUCGAGGGGAAACGGCAUUGAGUGCUUGCACUCUUUGGACGUCGACCGGCGCACGGGUGAGUAACGCGUAUCCAACCUUCCCAUUACUGUGGGAUAACCUGCCGAAAGGCAGACUAAUACCGCAUAGUCUUCGAUGACGGCAUCAGAUUUGAAGUAAAGAUUUAUCGGUAAUGGAUGGGGAUGCGUCUGAUUAGCUUGUUGGCGGGGUAACGGCCCACCAAGGCGACGAUCAGUAGGGGUUCUGAGAGGAAGGUCCCCCACAUUGGAACUGAGACACGGUCCAAACUCCUACGGGAGGCAGCAGUGAGGAAUAUUGGUCAAUGGACGGAAGUCUGAACCAGCCAAGUAGCGUGCAGGAUGACGGCCCUAUGGGUUGUAAACUGCUUUUGUAUGGGGAUAAAGUUAGGGACGUGUCCCUAUUUGCAGGUACCAUACGAAUAAGGACCGGCUAAUUCCGUG